GUGCCUGUAGUCCUAGCUACUCGGGAGGCUGAGGCAGGAACAUGGUGUGAACCUGGGAGGUGUAGCUUGCAGUGAGCCGAGAUCACACCACUGCACUCCAGCCUGGGCGACAGAACAAGACUUCACCUCAAAAAAAACCAAAAAAACAAAAAACCCCAACAAGCAGAUUUCUAGCCAAAAGACCUAUUUCCCACUUUAAAGCCACCUGCUUAGUUGCAGACAGAUAGAAAUGCUUUAAGCCUCCCUGGACUCUUCCCUGUUCUAGCAGUUACUUGCAUUCUAUUUGUGACCUACUGGCACAUUAAAGUGGCAUGAAAAUCAAUGUUUUACAUUGAAGGGAAAAGGGCUGGAUCGCCAAAUACCAAUAUAUUCCUUCCUGGAUUAGACAGUUCCUCAAAGCACACUUAACUAAUACAUUCCAACAGACAGGCCCAGAUGAGUUAAAUGCGAGCAUUUGCUGGAACAAAGAACAAAACCGUCUUGCUUGUUAAAGAUCGUUGGCCAAUCAGGGACCUUCCACUUGAUAUGGUAAGAAAGAAUUCAAGAGAAAAUGUAGUCAACAACUCUCAGUUUUGAAUUUUAUCCCAGUGCUUCAGACCAUAAGGAGUCCCUCAGGCUGGAGUCCAAUUGCCCAGAAGUAAAAACAGACUCUCAGACCAACAGCUAGAACCCUUUCCAGGACAUUGAGGUAUUCACCCACAAGUGCUCUAAAGCUCGACUUCAAACAGCAUGAAGCUGUGUAAAAACUUCCAGCUCUACAACCAGAUGAAUGGUUUUUACUACUUCAUGGGACACCAAAUUCCACAUAAUUAAGGCCAACUGCUUUAGAAUGUGCACUUCCAUUGGAACCCCUAUUUUCUUACAGCAUGUCGGCAAGUCUGUGUUCCUAAUCAACUGUGAAAUUUCAUGAAGGUGGGUACUCUGUUCUAAUCUCAGAAUGUGGUACAGCAUUAUGGCAUGAAACAGAACUCAAUAAACACUAACUGAAUAAAGAAAUGGGUAAAAUAAAGAUUAAAGCGAGGAUUUUUCAAGAAAAAUUGUAUCUUUUUAAAAAUUGUAUGCAAUAAUGUGGAUUCUCUAAAAUGACUAGUAGGAGAGAGAGGAGGGACCAACUUAUAAGGAAGCUUUCAAAUGUUAUUGUUAGUCACAUGGGCCUUUGUGAGAGGGUUGGGAGAAGUCUCUGGAAUAGAAAAUAAAUAGAAAAGGAAUAUGUUUUUGGAGUAUAAAUGAUCAUUACCUUGUUUCAGGAGCCACAGUUCACCCAGAGGCCAGAGGCCUGGCUGAGUUGUUUGUCCUAAACUUAAUAUAUUUGCUAUAUAGUUCUGUUAAUGAAUAGAAUUCUGUAAACCAAUAAUUACACUUUAUGUCUUAAUUGAGCACUUAGAAAUUCAAGAUACAUGAAUUAUUUUUCUGAGCUAUUUACCAAGCCUAUUUAAACUUGUGAGUUUUAAAAAUGAAGCAAACUCUUUCCCUGAGAUAAGCUUUUUACUUCUUUUGCAAGGUAGCUAUUUCAGUAAUAUUUGGUAUGGCACUAUAAUGAAAUCUGUCAGGAAUUAGAAGGAUGAGUACUUUACUAUAACUGAAAAAUGAGCAUGUUUGAGAAUUUCUGAUAACACUAAUGAGUUAGUGUUUCAAAUGAAAAUAAUUAAGUCAACAAAAAGAAAUUCUUCUUGGAUCAGUCUUCAGGACUGAGUAAUACUGAUAAAGAAAUAUCACUUGAAAGGAGCUUUUUGUCUUUAAAUGAAGAUAAAUUAAAAGGGUAACUAGGAUUUGCCACCUGCAAUACUGAUACCUACUAGCACAGAAUCAAAGCUAGAGUAUAAAAGAAAAUUCUCUAUAAGUCACUGGGCAAUUUUUAAGAACUCAUUUUUUGGGGGGAGCAAGAAAAGUAGUCAGACAAAUCAGUCCAAGGUGAGGUAUCUUUGGAAAAUUUAAUUUGGACCAUAUUUU
rnacentral:lncRNA from 10 species